AUGAGUGGGCAAGUGGCAUCAACAUUGGGACCUACAAAGCAAGAUUGCUCCCAGGUGGAUGAACCUGUGGUUGACCAGCAGCCCAGUGUUGAGCAGCCUCAACAAGAGAAACCGCCAGCUGAGAUUCAGGAUAUCACACCUAGACAGGAGGAAGUACAUGGAGAGGAUCCAGUGAAUCGUGAUGAAGAAGAGGAGAAGGAUCCCUUUGAAGGUAAAAUUCUGGCCUGGAAGCUGAUCUCCAGCAAUUGGCUCUGGCAAAGACUGGGGGUGAAGGUGGAGAUGGUCCCGAUGUCAGGGAGGAGUUUGCAUCAAAUACAGAGCCUGGUGAAAUGCCAGAAGCAGGGUGCAUUUUGUUGUUAGAUAUUUUACUGAAUGUGUAAAAUUCAGUGAUUCACACACACACACACACACACACUCACAGACAACUGGAGGGCUUCUGAGAUCUGGUGACUGUCAAGCCAAUGGAGGACAUCAUGGAGAAGAAAAGAUGUUUAUGGCUGUUCUCUCCCUGCACCCAAAAAACCCUUGGAAGGCAAGUCAGAAAUGUGUGAAAGAUAUGCUGUGCCAUUUGCCAUGCAGUUUGACAGCAGUUCUUUUCCUGUCUCCCUACAACCUUUAACAAUGGCUUUGGCAUUCCAUUUCUCUCUAUAUUAAGUUUUAUAUAUAUAUAUAUAUAAUAUACAAUAUAUAUAAUAUAAUAUCUCUAUAUUAAGUUUAUAUAUAAUAUAAAACUGUGUAUUAUAAAACAGUUUUGCCUUCUACUGAAAACUACCUUCUGAUAGGUUCCAUUGAUUUCAUUUGUCUGAACUCAGUGUCCUUUUCUUGUAUAACUAGCAAGAGUAGUGUGUUUUUAAAAAUACUGGUAACAUGCCUGAGAAGUCUAUAAAAUCUCUAGAGAGGAUUAACUGAAGGUAAGCCAAAGGUCGCCCUUAGUGUUCCCUGUUUUAGUCCAUUUUAUAAAACUACAACUGCAGUGAACUUUGUAUACCUCUCCUGUCAUCGAAAUAAAGUUCUGCUAAGUAACUUUUUAAUGUUUAUA
rnacentral:lncRNA from 1 species